AAGUCGUAACAAGGUUUCCGUAGGUGAACCUGCGGAAGGAUCAUCAACAAAAGGGAAAAAGGCGUGGCGGGCGCAAGCUCGUCUCACGUUCUGCUCCCGAAAUCCUGUAUUCACCCCAAGUUCCUUUAAAAUUUCAAUAAAAAACUCUGCAAAAAGACCACUUUUUAAAGUGGCAUCUAAUUGCACAAAGCGAAAACUUUCAGCAACGGAUCUCUUGGCUCUC
rnacentral:misc_RNA from 1 species